rnacentral:rRNA from 1 species
GGUGCUAACGUCCGUCGUGGAGAGGGAAACAACCCAGACCGCCAGCUAAGGUCCCAAAUUAUAGCUAAGUGGGAAACGAUGUGGGAAGGCUUAGACAGCUAGGAUGUUGGCUUAGAAGCAGCCAUCAUUUAAAGAAAGCGUAAUAGCUCACUAGUCGAGUCGGCCUGCGCGGAAGAUGUAACGGGGCUAAGCUAUAAACCGAAGCUGCGGCAAUGAAGUUUACUUC